rnacentral:rRNA from 1 species
AUUGAACGCUGGCGGCAGGCCUAACACAUGCAAGUCGAACGAGUGGCGGACAGGUGAGUAAUGUCUGGGAACCUGCCUGCUGGAGGGGGAUAAAUACUGGAAACGGUAGAUAAUACCGCAUACCAUCGGAUUUGCCCAGAUGGGAUUGGCUCGUAGGUGGGGUAAAGGUUCACCAGGGCGACGAUCCCUCGCUGGUCUGAGAGGAUGACCAGCCACCCGGGCACUGAGACACGGGCCAGACUCCUACGGGAGGCAGCAGUGGUGAAUAUUGCACAAUGGGCGCAAGCCUGAUGACGCCAUGCCGCGUGUAUGAAGAAGUCCUUCGGGUUGUAAAGUACUUGCAGCGGGGAGGCGUUACCCGCAGAAGAAGCACCGGCUAACUCCGUGCCAGCAGCCGCGGUAAUUC